rnacentral:rRNA from 1 species
UUGCAUAUCAAUAAGCGGAGGAAAAGAAACCAACAGGGAUUGCCUCAGUAACGGCGAGUGAAGCGGCAAAAGCUCAAAUUUGAAACCCUCGGGAUUGUAAUUUGAAGAUUUGGCAUUGGAGAAAGCUAACCCAAGUUGCUUGGAAUAGUACGUCAUAGAGGGUGACAACCCCGUCUGGCUAACCGUUCUCCAUGUAUUGCCUUAUCAAAGAGUCGAGUUGUUUGGGAAUGCAGCUCAAAGUGGGUGGUAAACUCCAUCUAAAGCUAAAUACUGGUGAGAGACCGAUAGCGAACAAGUACUGUGAAGGAAAGGUGAAAAGAACUUUGAAAAGAGAGUGAAAUAGUAUGUGAAAUUGUUGAUAGGGAAGGAAAUGAGUGGAGAGUGGCCGAGGUUUCAGCCGCCCCUCGUGGGCGGUGUACUGCCGACGCCGAGUCAUCGAUAGCGAGACGAGGGUUACAAAUGGGAGCGCCUUCGGGCGUUCUCCCCUAACCCUCCACACUGC